rnacentral:rRNA from 1 species
GAUGAACGCUGGCGGCGUGCCUAAUACAUGCAAGUCGAGCGAACGGACGAGAAGCUUGCUUCUCUGAUGUUAGCGGCGGACGGGUGAGUAACACGUGGAUAACCUACCUAUAAGACUGGGAUAACUUCGGGAAACCGGAGCUAAUACCGGAUGAUCUUUUGAACCGCAUGGUUCAAAAGUGAAAGACGGUCGUGCUGUCACUUAUAGAUGGAUCCCGGCUGCAUUAGCUAGUUGGUAAGGUAAUGGCUUACCAAGGCAACCAUGCAUAGCCGACGGAAGAGGGGGAUAGGCGACACUGGAAGUGGGACAGGGACAAGACUCCUGAGGGAGGGCGCAGUAGGGAACGUGCCGCAGUGGGGGAGAGUAUUACGGAGUAGGGCGGCGUGAGUUGUGGAGGUCCUCGGAGCGGAAUACUCGGUUACGAGGGGAGAACAGAUGUGGAAGUUACUGUGCACAGCGUGACGGUAACUGAUCAGAAAGCCACGGCUAACUACGUG